CAGCGCUGAGCCGUUCACGAUUCUCAUAUCUCUUUCGCCUUUUACUAAAGAGAUCAGCGAGUACGGCUCACCAAAGGCGCAUAUCAUUAAUCUUUGCAAGGCUUUUGCCU
rnacentral:snRNA from 1 species